CGUUUGGACGGUUUGCGUCGGAUAUCAUUAUGGGAGUUUAAAUUUUUUUGGCUAAAGCUUUACUUGAGUACUUUGUAAUUUAAAGCCAAAAAUUAAAAUGGAUUUACCCGUCUAUUAUUUAUAUUGAGGUGACUUAUCGUUCAUGAACUUCAGUACAGAGCCCUAUGGGUCUGUAAACUAAGUCAUCAUACUUUAUAUGAAAAAGGUUUAUGUAAAAUAAAAAAUCUGUAUAUUAUUAGAUUUCAAGGAACGUAUACCUACAAAAUCAUUAACAAAGAUAAUAAAAGAGCGGCGAGGACAUUGGUAAAUCCUCGAUUUUGCUCUGGUGCCUUUGAUGUUUGGGCUUCUUCAACGUUAAUGGAGAGAGAACCUUCACUGUUAUAAUCUUCAGUAAGCUGAAUUGGAGAUGGGCACAAUCCCAUCUCAUAAGCCGAUUCCUCUGGGUACAAGAUCAUGGGUUCACCGUUGCGUACCAUAAAUACCUGUCGAUUAUCUUGUACUGGAACGGACUUGCAAGAUAAUACGUCCAUCCACUUGUGCUCUUCUGCCGAAACAGUAUAAUGGAAAUGAAUGUAAUAUGAACCUAAGUUGUUGAGUACGGUUAUUACUUUGCCACGUCGUAAAAGCAAUAUUCUUUUAUCAACGAUGCUAAUAUCCGACUGCAUAUUUAAGAAAGCUUCUCCGUCUUUGCUUUCAAUCAUAGCUUUGCGGAAACGAUUGAUUGUAGACGUGAACUUAUAGUAAGGAUUUCUUUUUGGGAAACCUUUCUCCCAAAUUGCAGGUCGAUUAUAAGGAACCUCUUCACCGCGCAUGGCAAGUUCUUGGCCGUUGUACAUCAUAGGAAUACCAUCUCCCAUAAGAACAAAAGCAAUUGCAUUCUUUAAGGUGGCUGGAUCACUAGAAAUUGAAGCCAUUCUAGGAAGGUCUUUGUUCUCAACGAAGUUUCCUAACAAUAGGGGAUUGACACACAAACCGCGCAUGUCAGUCAUUUUGUCGGCAAGAUCAACAAUUCCCUCUGGAUUAUUCAUCAAAAAUGCUUUUACAGCAGAUUCUCUAACAGGGAAGUUACUCAACCCUUCCAAGUCGUUUUGCCAAUCACAAACUUUUAAAGAGUCGGAAGAUUUCAAGUCACCCAUGCAAAACACUCCAGCAGCUUUGCAAAAAUCUGGCCAGUACUUUCUAUAUUUGUCACCCAUAGCAUCGAAACGAAUACCAUCAAUUUGGAAAGUUUCUACAAAUGUUUGAAUAUAGUCCUCGAGAGCCCCUUUAGCACUAGGACGCUCAUGAACUGAAUGGUCUUCAUGGCAAGAGCAGUGUUCCUCGUGCUUCCAAGGCUUGUGAUCGGGCUUGGUUCCAUUG